AACAUUCAUUGCUGUCGGUGGGUUUUCAUUUCUAUCAACUCACUGACCAAUGAAUGCAAA
rnacentral:pre_miRNA from 1 species